CCGCCGGCGACCGGCGCACGGGUGAGUAACACGUAUGCAACCUGGCCGUGACAGAUGGAUAACCGGGAGAAAUCCCGCCUAAUACAACAUAAUGCCGGGAGGGGACAUCCCCUGCCGGCCAAAGGGGGCGACCCCGGUCACGGAUGGGCAUGCGGCGCAUUAGGUAGUUGGUGGGGCAACGGCCCACCAAGCCGACGAUGCGUAGGGGUUCUGAGAGGAAGGUCCCCCACACUGGAACUGAGACACGGUCCAGACUCCUACGGAAGGCAGCAG
rnacentral:rRNA from 1 species